UACGUAGGGGGCAAGCGUUGUCCGGAUUUAUUGGGCGUAAAGCGCGCGUAGGCGGCGCGGUAUGUCGUGCGUGAAAUCUCCCGGCUUAACUGGGAGGGGCCGUGCGAAACUGCCGGGCUUGAGGUCGGAAGGGGAAAGUGGAAUUCCGGGUGUAGUGGUGGAAUACGUAGAUAUCCGGAGGAACGCCAGCGGCGAAGGCGGCUUUCUGGUCCGAUACUGACGCUGAGGUGCGAAAGCGUGGGGAGCGAUCCGG
rnacentral:rRNA from 1 species